AGCGGGGUGGGCUAGCCUGGUUUAUGCCGCAGGGCUCAUAACCCUGAGAACACUGGUUCAAAAGAUUUUGAUU
rnacentral:tRNA from 1 species